CCCUUUAAGACCUUAUUAUUUAGUUGAAGGCGACAGAAAUAUUUACAGAUACGGCCAAGCAGGGACAUUUGUUUGUCUCCAAACAGUCAACCCCUCCUUCCUUUUAGUAAUACAAUCCCCCAACUUGGGCAUGCACCUCCCCUAUAGACUAUGUUUCUUGGCUUGUCUUAAUUAUGGUCGUGUGACUAAGUUUUGUCCAAUGGGAUGUGAGCAGAAGUGACAUGUGCAACUUCUGGGUCAUAUCUCUAAAAGGAAACCACUUGCUCAUUUUCCUCCUCCCUCCUUUCCAGGGCCUAGAUGUGGAUGUGGCAGUGUGAGCCAAAUCCUCUCAUCUGGACGAGAACAACACAGGAAGAGCUGGUGGAGCAACAACAUGGGAGGAGCCGCAGAGGAACUUGGGAGACCAUCUCCUCUCCCUUGAUUGCUUAUCAGCCAGCGAGAGAGAGAGAGAACACUUCUAUCUUGUUUAAGCCACUGUUACUUAGUCUCUGCUAAAGCAGCUGAAUCAAUAUCCCAACUAAUAUAUACACAUUUCCCCUAACAGACCAGGAGUUUCUGGAAACCUCGUUGUUUCUUCAAGCUCAUCAACGGAGCCCAUGCAGUUGCUAGAAUCUGAGGCUUGGAGACAGAAAGAUCUGUUGGAUUCCUGGCUCCACCACUUACAACUUCUCAUUAUUUACAAUAGCCAAGAUGUGGAAGCAACCUAAAGU